UGUCAGUUUCCUGAAUAUUGAUUACAAACAAACAACAAACACAUCAAUAAGAAAUACAAAGUUUACCAUAUAACCUCAAAGGGUUUUUCUAAGUCUAAAAUUUUACUUCUCCUUCCUAUUAUUUUUUAAAAAUAAAAAUAGCCAAACCAAAAUCUUUCCUUUACUCAGACGUGAGCUACGUUUUUCUCAUGUUCACAUUAAGCUUGACCUAAUGUAUCUAAUCAGCUUCUAUGACAGCUGUUUUCCAUUUUCUGUUUGCUUGUUUUGCUAAAUUUUGAGGUCUUCAAAAAGUCUCCUUUGUAAUAAUGUAGGAACUUGAUAUAUUCCCCCAGGUUGAAUUCAGAAAAAUGUCAAAAUCUUUGUAAAGGUCUACAGCGCGCCUUACAGAAUCUGCUCCUGACUUCCUAAGAGCUGAUUCCCUGUUUCUCCCCUGCUCAUUUAUUUGGCUCUGAGAACACUGUCUUCCUUAAUUAUUCUCUGUCCAUCAGGCUGGUUUCCACCUGGUCAAUUGGCUUAGACUAGAACACCACGGCAUCCCUAACCUCAGGUAGCUGGAAUAAAUGAAGGCAUGGCAGUGGGCUCUCCCACCAGGAUCCAGAAGCCACAGGCCAACUACAGCAGUCCUUCGGCCAUCAGGGAUGCUCACCAUUGUCACAGACGAUGGGAGUCCUGGCACAGACCUUCACACCAUGUCACUCCUGUCUCACCAAGAAGCUUGGAAGGAAAUGUCAGCAGGACUAUAAUUGCUGAGUCCUGGGGACAACAGUGCCACUUCCCAAGAAAAUGGGACUGUUUUCAAGCUGUAAAAUCAAUUGUAAAAGAAAUAGCUCUUG
rnacentral:lncRNA from 1 species